rnacentral:rRNA from 1 species
AUGGGAACGCGAAGAACCUUACCUACUCUUGGCAUCCAGAGAACUUAGCAGAGAUGCUUUGGUGCCUUCGGGAACUCUGAGACAGGUGCUGCAUGGCUGUCGUCAGCUCGUGUUGUGAAAUGUUGGGUUAAGUCCCGCAACGAGCGCAACCCUUAUCCUUUGUUGCCAGCGGUUCGGCCGGGAACUCAAAGGAGACUGCCAGUGAUAAACUGGAGGAAGGUGGGGAUGACGUCAAGUCAUCAUGGCCCUUACGAGUAGGGCUACACACGUGCUACAAUGGCAUAUACAAAGAGAAGCGACCUCGCGAGAGCAAGCGGACCUCAUAAAGUAUGUCGUAGUCCGGAUUGGAGUCUGCAACUCGACUCCAUGAAGUCGGAAUCGCUAGUAAUCGUAGAUCAGAAUGCUACGGUGAAUACGUUCCCGGGUCUUGUACACACCG